rnacentral:rRNA from 1 species
GCCCCUUAUGWCCUGGGCUACACACGUGCUMCAAUGGGCAGAACAAAGGGCAGYGAAGCCGCGAGGCUAAGCCAAUCCCACAAAUCUGUUCUCAGUUCGGAUCGCAGUCUGCAACUCGAMUGCGUGAAGCUGGAAUCGCUAGUAAUCGCGGAUCAGCAUKCCGCGGUGAAUACGUUCCCGGGCCUUGUACACACCGCCCGUCWCACCACGAGAGUUUGUAACACCCGAAGUCGGUGAGGUAACCUUUUGGAGCCAGCCGCCGAAGGUGGGACAGAUGAUUGGGGUG